rnacentral:rRNA from 1 species
AGUGAACGCUGGCGGUAGGCCUAACACAUGCAAGUCGAACGGCAGCACAGUAAGAGCUUGCUCUUACGGGUGGCGAGUGGCGGACGGGUGAGGAAUACAUCGGAAUCUACUUUUUCGUGGGGGAUAACGUAGGGAAACUUACGCUAAUACCGCAUACGACCUACGGAUGAAAGCAGGGGAUCUUCGGACCUUGCGCGAUUGAAUGAGCCGAUGUCGGAUUAGCUAGUUGGCGGGGUAAAGGCCCACCAAGGCGACGACCCGUAGCUGGUCUGAGAGGAUGAUCAGCCACACUGGAACUGAGACACGGUCCAGACUCCUACGGGAGGCAGCAGUGGGGAAUAUUGGACAAUGGGCGCAAGCCUGAUCCAGCCAUACCGCGUGGGUGAAGAAGGCCUUCGGGUUGUAAAGCCCUUUUGUUGGGAAAGAAAAGCAGCAGGUUAAUACCCCGCUGUUCUGACGGUACCCAAAGAAUAAGCACCGGCUAACUUCGUG